GUGGCUGUGGCUCAGCAGUAGAGCGCUUGUCUAGCAUGUGUGAGAGAGACCCUGGGUUCGAUUCUCAGCACCACA
rfam:Ictidomys tridecemlineatus contig034092, whole genome shotgun sequence.